CAGCCUCUCACUUCCAGCCGCCAGCACCUCUGGGCCUGGGGUCUCCUCUUGAGGCUGGCGACCCCUUGCCUCCCGUGUGGCAGGCUGAAACGUGGAGACUUGCUCUCCCCCGGGAGCAGACUCGGCAGGACCCCAGCAGUCUCACCCCUUGGGUGGGGACUCUGCACCAGCCCCCAGGACUCCCUGUUGCCCACAGUGGGGUCUCCCAUGGGGGGCGGCGGAUCUUUCACAACCAUGAUUAAGCACCUGCUGUCCCUCUUCUCACCUCCCUACCCGCUAGCCUUCACCUCCCAAGCAAACUUCCAGUGCCAGAAGAAUCCUCAUUCCCAGGUCAGAAGGAGAAAGCUCCCGCAGCAUCAGGCCAAGCAGCAGUCCUCAGGAGACGUUUCUCGUUCCCUUGGGUCCAGCCUCAGGACCGUGGCUCUCCUGACGUUUCCAGCCCUCCCUCUCUUGGGUGACGGCCAGGCUCCGCUCCAGCCCACUCUCCCCUCUGGGUGCUUCUCUGGAAAUCUACGGCGGGAAGACUGAUGCUCCCGACUGGAGGAGUCAGGAGCUGAUACCUCCCAGGGGCACCACCCCCGCCCCUUCCCAGAGAUGUAGGUUGUUUUGAAAUACGCUGCACUGACUCUUUCCUGGCUAAUAGCUGC
ensembl:lncRNA